GGGAAAAAGACGCAGCUGGUGUGUUUCCCACUGAACAACUCAGUGGUGAUUUUGCAGGUUUUCAAGUUUCCGUGCAUGAUACAGGACCCAUAGAGCCUGAUGGUCUGUACAUAACCCCAACUCAGGUACACCGACACAUCCUUUCAAGCCUGGAGACAAGGUCCUGGUAAAGCGACUGCACAAGAAUAAAAGUCUGGAUCCUCCUUUUGGACCACCCACAGAGGUCAUUGCAGUAACACGCACCGCAGUUCUCACAGACGAGAGCCCAACAUGGAUCCAUGCCAGCAGGAUCAAGAUAUUCCCACAGAAUUGGAAAACAGACGCUGGAUCUACAGUGCCCGCUUCCCAACCCAACAAGCUAUCAUCUAUGUGUUAUUCAUAACAGUCAUUGCUGGUGCUGCCAUUGGCCUAAUGGCUACUGUAGCCAUUGGA